rnacentral:rRNA from 1 species
UGACCUCAAAUCAGGUAGGACUACCCGCUGAACUUAAGCAUAUCAAUAAGCGGAGGAAAAGAAACUAACAAGGAUUCCCCUAGUAACUGCGAGUGAAGCGGGAAAAGCUCAAAUUUAAAAUCUGGUGGUCUUUUGGCUGUCCGAGUUGUAAUCUAGAGAAGUGUUAUCCGCGCUGGACCGUGUACAAGUCUCCUGGAAUGGAGCAUCAUAGAGGGUGAGAAUCCCGUCUUUGACAUGGACUACCAGGGCUUUGUGAUGCGCUCUCAAAGAGUCGAGUUGUUUGGGAAUGCAGCUCAAAAUGGGUGGUAAAUUCCAUCUAAAGCUAAAUAUUGGCGAGAGACCGAUAGCGAACAAGUACCGUGAGGGAAAGAUGAAAAGAACUUUGGAAAGAGAGUUAAACAGUACGUGAAAUUGCUGAAAGGGAAACGCUUGAAGUCAGUCACGUUGUCCAGGGAUCAACCUUGCUUUUGCUUGGUGCACUUUCUGGUUUGACGGGUCAGCAUCAAUUUUGACUAUUGGAAAAAGGCUAAGGGAAUGUGGCAUCUUUGGAUGUGUUAUAGCCCUUGGUCACAUACAAUGGUUGGGAUUGAGGAACUCAGCAUGCCGCAAGGCCGGGUUUUAAACCACGUACGUGCUUAGGAUGC